GAUGAACGCUGACAGAAUGCUUAACCCAUGCAAGUCAACUUGGUGUCUGACGGGUUAGUAACGCGUAAAGAACUUGCCUCACAGCUAUGGACAACAUUUCGAAAUUACUGCUCAUACCUGAUACUGUGGGAGAGCUUUGCGUCCCAUUAGCUAGUUGGAGAGUUACCAGCUCACCAAGGCGAUGAUGGUUAGCCGGCCUGAGAGGUUGAACGGCAACAAGGGGACUGAGACACGGCCCUUACUCCUACGGGAGGCAGCAGUUGGGAAUAUUGGACAAUGGACCGAAGUCUGAUCCAGCAAUUCUUUGUGCACGAUGAAGUUUUUCGGAAUGUAAAGUGAUUUCAGUUGGGAAGCGGUACCAACAGAAGAAGUGACGGCUAAAUACGUGCCAGCAGCCGCGGUAAUUC
rnacentral:rRNA from 1 species